rnacentral:snRNA from 1 species
UUUAGUGUUUAAGAUAAUAUA